rnacentral:rRNA from 1 species
UACAGAGGGUGCAAGCGUUAAUCGGAAUUACUGGGCGUAAAGCGUGCGUAGACGGUUGCGUAAGUCAGAUGUGAAAGCCCCGGGCUUAACCUGGGAAUGGCAUUUGGGACUGCAAGGCUUGAGUGCGGCAGAGGAGACUGGAAUUCCUGGUGUAGCAGUGAAAUGCGUAGAUAUCAGGAGGAAUACCGAUGGCGAAGGCAGGUCUCUGGGCUGACACUGACGCUCAUGCACGAAAGCGUGGGGAGCGAACAGG